rnacentral:rRNA from 1 species
GUGGGGAAUAUUGGACAAUGGGCGCAAGCCUGAUCCAGCCAUGCCGCGUGAGUGAUGAAGGCCCUAGGGUUGUAAAGCUCUUUCACCGGUGAAGAUAAUGACGGUAACCGGAGAAGAAGCCCCGGCUAACUUCGUGCCAGCAGCCGCGGUAAUACGAAGGGGGCUAGCGUUGUUCGGAAUUACUGGGCGUAAAGCGCACGUAGGCGGACAUUUAAGUCUGGGGUGAAAGCCCGGGGCUCAACCCCGGAACUGCCUUUGAUACUGGGUGUCUGGAGUAUGGAAGAGGUAAGUGGAAUUCCGAGUGUAGAGGUGAAAUUCGUAGAUAUUCGGAGGAACACCAGUGGCGAAGGCAGCCAUCUGGCCUAAUACUGACGCUGAGGUACGAAAGCAUGGGGAGCAAACAGGAUUAGAUACCCGUGUAGUCC